GGGUUGUGAGGUUAAGCGACUAAGCGUACACGGUGGAUGCCCUGGCAGUCAGAGGCGAUGAAGGACGUGCUAAUCUGCGAUAAGCGCCGGUAAGGUGAUAUGAACCGUUAUAACCGGCGAUUUCCGAAUGGGGAAACCCAGUGUGAUUCGUCACACUAUCAUUAACUGAAUCCAUAGGUUAAUGAGGCGAACCGGGGGAACUGAAACAUCUAAGUACCCCGAGGAAAAGAAAUCAACCGAGAUUCCCCCAGUAGCGGCGAGCGAACGGGGAGGAGCCCAGAGCCUGAAUCAGCAUGUGUGUUAGUGGAAGCGUCUGGAAAGGCGCGCGAUACAGGGUGACAGCCCCGUACACAAAAGCGCAUGUGCUGUGAGCUCGAUGAGUAGGGCGGGACACGUGGUAUCCUGUCUGAAUAUGGGGGGACCAUCCUCCAAGGCUAAAUACUCCUGACUGACCGAUAGUGAACCAGUACCGUGAGGGAAAGGCGAAAAGAACCCCGGCGAGGGGAGUGAAAAAGAACCUGAAACCGUGUACGUACAAGCAGUGGGAGCCCCACCACUAAGCCAGUGGUGAACUCCACAUACGCAUCCUUUGCUGAGGAUACGGUUAACGGAGCGAAAGCGACGUUCAACCGCAAAAGAAGCAGAGGGGGCUUAGUGGUGGGGUGACUGCGUACCUUUUGUAUAAUGGGUCAGCGACUUAUAUUCUGUAGCAAGGUUAACCGUAUAGGGGAGCCGUAGGGAAACCGAGUCUUAACCGGGCGUUAAGUUGCAGGGUAUAGACCCGAAACCCGGUGAUCUAGCCAUGGGCAGGUUGAAGGUUGGGUAACACUAACUGGAGGACCGAACCGACUAAUGUUGAAAAAUUAGCGGAUGACUUGUGGCUGGGGGUGAAAGGCCAAUCAAACCGGGAGAUAGCUGGUUCUCCCCGAAAGCUAUUUAGGUAGCGCCUCGUGAAUUCAUCUUCGGGGGUAGAGCACUGUUUCGGCUAGGGGGUCAUCCCGACUUACCAACCCGAUGCAAACUGCGAAUACCGAAGAAUGUUAUCACGGGAGACACACGGCGGGUGCUAACGUCCGUCGUGAAGAGGGAAACAACCCAGACCGCCAGCUAAGGUCCCAAAGUCAUGGUUAAGUGGGAAACGAUGUGGGAAGGCCCAGACAGCCAGGAUGUUGGCUUAGAAGCAGCCAUCAUUUAAAGAAAGCGUAAUAGCUCACUGGUCGAGUCGGCCUGCGCGGAAGAUGUAACGGGGCUAAACCAUGCACCGAAGCUGCGGCAGCGAACGUAUCACUUAAAGCGAUUC
rnacentral:rRNA from 1 species